AUUGAACGCUGGCGGCAGGCCUAACACAUGCAAGUCGAACGGUAACAGGAAGAAGCUUGCUUCUUUGCUGACGAGUGGCGGACGGGUGAGUAAUGUCUGGGAAACUGCCUGAUGGAUGGGGAUAACUACUGGAAACGGUAGCUAAUACCGCAUAACGUCGCAAGACCAAAAAGGGGGACCUUCGGGCCUCUUGCCAUCGGAUGUGCCCAGAUGGGAUUAGCUAGUAGGUGGGGUAACGGCUCACCUAGGCGACGAUCCCUAGCUGGUCUGAGAGGAUGACCAGCCACACUGGAACUGAGACACGGUCCAGACUCCUACGGGAGGCAGCAGUGGGGAAUAUUGCACAAUGGGCGCAAGCCUGAUGCAGCCAUGCCGCGUGUAUGAAGAAGGCCUUCGGGUUGUAAAGUACUUUCAGCGGGGAGGAAGGGAGUAAAGUUAAUACCUUUGCUCAUUGACGUUACCCGCAGAAGAAGCACCGGCUAACUCCGUG
rnacentral:rRNA from 1 species